GACGAACGCUGGCGGCGUGCUUAACACAUGCAAGUCGAGCGGUAAGGCCCUUUCGGGGGUACGACGAGCGGCGAACGGGUGAGUAACACGUGGGUGACCUGCCCUCAGCUCUGGGAUAAGCCUGGGAAACCGGGUCUAAUACUGGAUAUGACUCCAUGACGCAUGUUGGUGGGGUGGAAAGCCUUGUGCGGCUGAGGAUGGGCCCGGCGGCCUAUCAGCUUGUUGGUGGGGUGAGGCCUACCAAGGCGACGACGGGUAGCCGGCCUGAGGAGGGCGACCGGCCACACUGGGACUGAGACACGGCCCAGACUCCUACGGGAGGCAGCAGUGGGGAAUCUUGCGCAAUGGGCGAAAGCCUGACGCAGCGACGCCGCGUGAGGGAUGA
rnacentral:rRNA from 1 species